AUGAUAGUUGUGCCUCAGUGGAUCGAGGCUAAAGGUCUCAUCUCCAUGGUUAGCAUACGGCCAAGACAUCCUACAAUGCACAUCAGGGCAUUCAUGAUUUCUAAAAGAGAGCAAGUCUUAAUAGUCAAUGACUGGAACAAAAUUGUGAAUGAUCGCAGAGAAGUACUAGGGGGCAGUAAUCAGAAGCGCGACCCACAAUUAGGAGAUAGAUUCAUCUGCAUUCUCCAAUAUGAUGAAGCAGGAGUGUUAUAUACAUGUUCUAUGCUAUUUUAUCUGAGAGAGAGCAACAUGAGUGAUUAG
rnacentral:rRNA from 1 species